CUCAUCUUCUGCAUCUCCCGCAUUGCAGGCAGGUUCUUUACCCACUGAACCACUUGGUAGGCCCCAAAGACCUGCAUAUCUGCUUUUAAAUCACUGCAGGGCUGCAUCACUGCACAGCUAAUGUGCUCUGCUGCUGUCAGAGUCUAGGUGACCCGCAGCCUCUAGAGCUGUUCUCUGAGUGGCUGUCUGACUACUGGUGCCUGCCAGCCUCUCAGUGCUGUUAGUUACUUGGCGUGUGGUCUUGUAUGAGUGGCUCAUUGUAGCUACUGGUAAAUGGGAUAAUAAUUCCUACCUCCCAGAGUUGAGUAUAUGUAUGCCUUAUAAUUUAAGUCUUUCUUUUUUCCCUGGUCAGUUUGAUUUGUCCACCUGCACAGCAUCCAUUAUUUAUCUUUGUUCACAUUAAGAUGUUACCUUUUGGACAUCACUAUUCAGGAGCCUUCUGUGAAGCCCUUUCUAGUAACUUCCUCCUUUCUAGUUCCAUGUCUUCCUCACCAGCAUUUCACUAAGAAUUGGUCAUAAGGCACUAGGUGUGCAGGAUUAAUAGCUGUCAUAUGAAGAACAAAGGAGGUGGGGACAUGAGGUCUGCAGUAAAUUUGAGAUGUGCUGGGUCUGACAGGCGUGUCCAGGUUCCUCCAACAAGUGACGUAUAGCAGUCAUUCAUCCUUACCGAGUAGGAUACUCCAUUGUACGGCUGUGCCACAAUUUAUCCACUUGCUGCGGACAUCAGGUCGACUCCUGGUUUGGACUACUGUGAACAACACUCGUGUACAAGUCUUUUGUGUGCAUAUAUGUUUUCAUUUCUCUUGAGUAGAUAUUUAAAGAGUGGAAUUGCUGGGUCAAAUGGUAAGUGUAUUUUUAACCUUGUAAGAAACUUCCAAACUGUUCUUCGAGGUAGUUGCAUCAUUUUAACACUCUUACCAGCAAUGUAUGAGAGUCCCUUUUGCUCCCCAUCUUUGGCAGUAUUUCAUCUCGCCAGUCUUUGAUUUUAGCCACUCUAGUGGAUAUGAAAUAAUGUCACAAAGUGGUUUUAAUGUACAUUGCCCAAAUGACUAAAAUUGAACAUCUUUUCAUGUGCUUAUUGGAUAUUCAUAUAUAUUUUUGUGAAUAUAUAUGAAUAUUGGAUAUUCAUAUAUACUAAAGCCUAUUGACCUUUAUGAUAAGUAGCAUUAUUUGUCUUUUAUUGAGGUGAAAAGUGCUUUUCAUAUUCUGGAUAUACUCCAUUAGUAGUUAUAUGUGUAGCAAAUAUUUUUUUCUCAGUCUGCCUCUUUGCUUUCUUGAUGUUUUCUUUUAAGGAGAGCAGGAGGAUUUAAUUCUAAUUAAAUCCAAUUUAAUUUAUUUUAUUUUAUUUCUAGUGCUAUUUCUGGCCUAACAAAUAUCUUUGUCUACCCACAAGGCCAUCAAGUAUGUUUGGGUUUAUUUCUGAACUCUCAGUGUUAUUUCAUCAUUUUAAUUGCUGUAGCUUCAUACUGAGUCUUAGAAUUAAGUAGUAUAAGUUCUUCAAUUCUGUUUGUCUUUUACAAAAUAAUUUUUUUUCCUUAGAUCCUUUACAUUUCCAAACACAUGUUUAGAACUAGCUUGUCAUUUUCUUAAAAAAAAAAAAACUUUCUGGGGAUUUAAAUUUGGUAAGACAAUACUGAGUUUUUCAAUCCAUGAUCAUGGUAUAUAUUUCCAUUAUUUGAUUCUUUAAAAAUGUCCCUGGCAAUACUUAUUGCUUUCUGCAUAAAGAUCAUGAACAGCUUUUGUUAAAUUUUUAUUUCUGUUGUAUUUCAUUUGAUCCCGCUGUACAUGGUAUCUUUUACAAUCUUAUUUUCCCCAUUUUUGUUUCUCAAUUUCGUUUUUUAAAUUUAUUCCUAAUUGGAAGAUAAUUGCUUUACAAUAACUUUAUUAUUUUGAGAUGAAUACAUUUGCAAGCUUAACAAACCAUG